GACGAACGCUGGCGGCGUGCUUAACACAUGCAAGUCGAACGGAAAGGCCCUGCUUUUGUGGGGUGCUCGAGUGGCGAACGGGUGAGUAACACGUGAGUAACCUGCCCUUGACUUUGGGAUAACUUCAGGAAACUGGGGCUAAUACCGGAUAGGAGCUCCUGCUGCAUGGUGUGGGUUGGAAAGUUUCGGCGGUUGGGGAUGGACUCGCGGCUUAUCAGCUUGUUGGUGGGGUAGUGGCUUACCAAGGCUUUGACGGGUAGCCGGCCUGAGAGGGUUAACGGCCACAUUGGGACUGAGAUACGGCCCAGACUCCUACGGGAGGCAGCAGUGGGGAAUAUUGCACAAUGGGCGGAAGCCUGAUGCAGCAACGCCGCGUGCGGGAUGACGGCCUUCGGGUUGUAAACCGCUUUCGCCUGUGACGAAGCGUGAGUGACGGUAAUGGGUAAAGAAGCACCGGCUAACUACGUG
rnacentral:rRNA from 1 species